UACGUAGGGGGCAAGCGUUAUCCGGAUUUACUGGGUGUAAAGGGAGCGUAGACGGCUGUGCAAGCCAGAUGUGAAAGCCCGGGGCUCAACCCCGGGACUGCAUUUGGAACUGUGUAGCUGGAGUGUCGGAGAGGCAGGCGGGAUUCCUAGUGUAGCGGUGAAAUGCGUAGAUAUUAGGAGGAACACCAGUGGCGAAGGCGGCCUGCUGGACGAUGACUGACGUUGAGGCUCGAAAGCGUGGGGAGCAAACAGG
rnacentral:rRNA from 1 species